GGACCCCUAGCUCAGUGGUUAGAGCGCCUGACUCAUAAUCGGGAUGUCGCCGGUUCAAGUCCGGCGGGGUCUA
rnacentral:tRNA from 1 species